GACGAACGCUGGCGGCGUGCCUAAUACAUGCAAGUAGAACGCUGAAGGAGGAGCUUGCUUCUCUGGAUGAGUUGCGAACGGGUGAGUAACGCGUAGGUAACCUGCCUGGUAGCGGGGGAUAACUAUUGGAAACGAUAGCUAAUACCGCAUAAUAGCAGUUGUUGCAUGACAACUGUUUGAAAGGUGCAAUUGCACCACUACCAGAUGGACCUGCGUUGUAUUAGCUAGUUGGUGGGGUAACGGCUCACCAAGGCGACGAUACAUAGCCGACCUGCGAGGGGGGUCGGCCACACUGGGACUGUGACACGGCCCAGACUCCUACGGGAGGCAGCAGUAGUGAAUCUUCGGCCAUGGACGGAAGUCUGACCGAGCAACGCCGCGUGAGUGAAGAAGGUUUUCGGAUCGUAAAGCUCUGUUGUAAGAGAAGAACGAGUGUGAGAGUGGAAAGUUCACACUGUGACGGUAUCUGACCAGAAAGGGACGGCUAACUACGUG
rnacentral:rRNA from 1 species